GGGAUAUGCAGAGGUCUUCCAGGGGGUGCAUCAACUCAUCUAGAUAUUUGCCUAGUUUUACAACAGGCUACAUGAAAAACACUAGCGAAGUCAGCACAAACUAAAAUUUCAUCCGAACAAUGACAUGUUUAUACUGCACUAUAUACUAUACACUCAAAUGUAA